AUUGAACGCUGGCGGAAUGCUUUACACAUGCAAGUCGAACGGCAGCACGGACUUCGGUCUGGUGGCGAGUGGCGAACGGGUGAGUAAUACAUCGGAACGUGCCCAGUCGUGGGGGAUAACGUAGCGAAAGCUACGCUAAUACCGCAUACGAUCUAAGGAUGAAAGCGGGGGAUCGCAAGACCUCGCGCGAUUGGAGCGGCCGAUGGCAGAUUAGGUAGUUGGUGGGGUAAAGGCCUACCAAGCCGACGAUCUGUAGCUGGUCUGAGAGGACGACCAGCCACACUGGGACUGAGACACGGCCCAGACUCCUACGGGAGGCAGCAGUGGGGAAUUUUGGACAAUGGGCGCAAGCCUGAUCCAGCCAUUCCGCGUGCAGGAUGAAGGCCCUCGGGUUGUAAACUGCUUUUGUACAGAACGAAAAGGCUCUGGUUAAUACCUGGGGCUCAUGACGGUACUGUAAGAAUAAGCACCGGCUAACUACGUGCCAGCAGCCGCAGUAA
rnacentral:rRNA from 1 species